UACGGAGGGUGCAAGCGUUAUCCGGAUUCACUGGGUUUAAAGGGUGCGUAGGCGGGCGGGUAAGUCAGUGGUGAAAUCUCCGAGCUUAACUCGGAAACUGCCAUUGAUACUAUUUGUCUUGAAUAUUGUGGAGGUAAGCGGAAUAUGUCAUGUAGCGGUGAAAUGCUUAGAUAUGACAUAGAACACCAAUUGCGAAGGCAGCUUACUACACAAUGAUUGACGCUGAGGCACGAAAGCGUGGGGAUCAAACAGG
rnacentral:rRNA from 1 species